rnacentral:rRNA from 1 species
GACGAACGCUGGCGGCGUGCUUAACACAUGCAAGUCGAACGGAAAGGCCCCUUUGGGGGUACUCGAGUGGCGAACGGGUGAGUAACACGUGAGUAACCUGCCCUUGACUUCGGGAUAACUUCAGGAAACUGGGGCUAAUACCGGAUAGGAAUCCUUGCUGCAUGGUGGGGGUUGGAAAGCUUCGGCGGUUUUGGAUGGACUCGCGGGUUAUCAGCUUGUUGGUGGGGUAGUGGCUUACCAAGGCGUUGACGGGUAGCCGGCCUGCGAGGGCGACCGGCCACAUUGGGACUGAGAUACGGCCCAGACUCCUACGGGAGGCAGCAGUGGGGAAGAUUGCACAAGGGGCGGAAGCCUGAUGCAGCAACGCCGCGUGCGGGAUGACGGCCUUCGGGUUGUAAACCGCUUUCAGCAGGGGCGAAGCUUGUGGUGACGGUACCUGCAGAAGAAGCACCGGCUAACUACGUG